UCGUCAGGUGAGAUAAUCCUUACCUGUUCUUCCAUCUCAGGGAGGAGGGCAGUGAGAAAAUGAUGAGCAGAGCCUGCGUGACGCGUGAUUAAUGCCUCCUGACUGUCGAGGCCAAGAAAAAAAAAAAUUAGAC